UUCAGCUUUGGGUGCUGAUAGUGAGGCUAUGGCUUCUUCCUUGA
rnacentral:tRNA from 1 species